rnacentral:rRNA from 1 species
AACGAACGCUGGCGGCAUGCCUAACACAUGCAAGUCGAACGACCCCUUCGGGGAUAGUGGCGCACGGGUGCGUAACGCGUGGGAACCUGCCCUUAGGUUCGGAAUAACUCAGAGAAAUUUGAGCUAAUACCGGAUAAUGUCUUCGGACCAAAGAUUUAUCGCCUUUGGAUGGGCCCGCGUUGGAUUAGCUAGUUGGUGGGGUAAAGGCCUACCAAGGCGACGAUCCAUAGCUGGUCUGAGAGGAUGAUCAGCCACACUGGGACUGAGACACGGCCCAGACUCCUACGGGAGGCAGCAGUGGGGAAUAUUGGACAAUGGGCGAAAGCCUGAUCCAGCAAUGCCGCGUGAGUGAUGAAGGCCUUAGGGUUGUAAAGCUCUUUUACCCGGGAUGAUAAUGACAGUACCGGGAGAAUAAGCCCCGGCUAACUCCGUG